AGCCGCGGUAAUACGUAGGCAGCGAGCGUUGUUCGGAGUUACUGGGCGUAAAGAGUGCGUAGGCGGUGCUCUAAGUCUGGUGUGAAAUCUCCCGGCUCAACUGGGAGGGUGCGCCGGAAACUGGAGUGCUCGAGUGUGGGAGAGGCAGGCGGAAUUCCUGGUGUAGCGGUGAAAUGCGUAGAUAUCAGGAGGAACACCUGUGGUGUAGGCAGCUUGCUGGACCACCACUGACGCUGAGGCACGAAAGCGUGGGGAGCAAAC
rnacentral:rRNA from 1 species